CCUACGUGAGGCAGCAGUGGGGAAUAUUGCGCAAUGGGCGAUAGCCUGACGCAGCGACGCCGCGUGAGGGAUGAAGGUCUUCGGAUCGUAAACCUCUGUCAGCAGGGAAGAACGGUCACUGUGCUAAUCAGCAGUGAAUUGACGGUACCUGCAAAGGAAGCACCGGCUAACUCCGUGCCAGCAGCCGCGGUAAUACGGAGGGUGCGAGCGUUAAUCGGAAUUACUGGGCGUAAGGCGCUCGUAGGCGGUAUGUCAAGUCAAGGGUGAAAUCCCCGCGCUCAACGUGGGAACUGCCUUUGAAACUGGCAAACUGGAGUGUGUGAGGGGAUAGUGGAAUUCCAGGUGUAGGAGUGAAAUCCGGAGAUAUCUGGAGGAACAUCAGUGGCGAAGGCGACUAUCUGGCACAUAACUGACGCUGAGGAGCGAAAGCGUGGGUAGCAAACAGGAUUAGAUACCCGUGUAGUC
rnacentral:rRNA from 1 species